AAGCAAGAAAACUGAGUUCAACAAAGAAACUCCGACCUCAGACCGCGAAAAUCGGGGUUGCACUCACACACUUGCAACUUUUUGUGUAUGAACACAAAAGUCGAACGAGAAACGUGGUGAAAAAUGAGAAAAGGAAAAGAAAGACAAGGCCAACAAGAGCCAAAGCGUCAUUAUGUUAUUUUUUGUUGAAGUGUUUGGUUGCGUCGUGUCUCGUGUCGUUGUUUGUAUAAUGUUAGAUUAUUAACUAUAAAAAAUUAUAUUAAAUUAUAAACAAUAUGGAAAACAAAAAAGAUGUAAUCUCUAAGAAAAAUCCAGAAGGUGAAACAUGCGAUUGGGUAUCUAAAAAAAAAACACCAA